CCUACGGGAGGCAGCAGUGGGGAAUAUUGCGCAAUGGGCGAAAGCCUGACGCAGCGACGCCGCGUGAGGGAUGAAGGUCUUCGGAUCGUAAACCUCUGUCAGCAGGGAAGAACGGGCACUGUGCUAAUCACCAGUGAAUUGACGCCACCUGCAAAGGUACCACCGGCUAACUCCGUGCCAGCAGCCGCGGUAAUACGGAGGGUGAGAGCGUUAAUCGGAAUUACUGGGCGUAAAGCGGGCGUAGGCGGGAAUUGAAGUCAAGGGUGAAAUCCGCGAGCCGAACGUGAGAACUGCAUUUGAUACUGGAAAGCUGGAGUGUGAGAGAGGCUAGUGGAACGACAGGUGUAGGAGUGAAAUCCGUAGAUAUCUGGAGGAACAUCAGUGGCGAAGGCGACUAUCUGGCACAUAACUGACGCUGAGGAGCGAAAGCGUGGGUAGCAAACAGGAUUAGAUACCCGGGUAGUC
rnacentral:rRNA from 1 species